ACUGUUCCUGGACCACGCCUGGCUGAGGGUC
rnacentral:rRNA from 1 species